UACGUAGGCAGCAAGCGUUGUUCGGAAUUACUGGGCGUAAAGAGUGUGUAGGCGGUGCUCUAAGUUCGGUGUGAAAUCUCCCGGCUCAACUGGGAGGGUGCGCCGAAAACUGGAGUGCUGGAGCGCGGGAGAGGAAAGCGGAAUUCCUGGUGUAGCGGUGAAAUGCGCAGAUAUCAGGAGGAACACCGGUGGCGAAGGCGGCUUUCUGGGCCUUACCUGACGCUGAGGAGCGAAAGCUGGGGGAGCAAACAGG
rnacentral:rRNA from 1 species